UCAAAUGAAUUGACGGGGGCCCGCACAAGCGGUGGAGCAUGUGGUUUAAUUCGAUGCAACGCGAAGAACCUUACCUGGUCUUGACAUCCACAGAAGAAUCCAGAGAUGGAUUUGUGCCUUCGGGAACUGUGAGACAGGUGCUGCAUGGCUGUCGUCAGCUCGUGUUGUGAAAUGUUGGGUUAAGUCCCGCAACGAGCGCAACCCUUAUCCUUUGUUGCCAGCGGUUAGGCCGGGAACUCAAAGGAGACUGCCAGUGAUAAACUGGAGGAAGGUGGGGAUGACGUCAAGUCAUCAUGGCCCUUACGACCAGGGCUACACACG
rnacentral:rRNA from 1 species